CUUCCUCUGGGACCUCUCUCUUCUUGCCGUAUCUCCAGACCCUUCUGCAUAAAGAUCAGUUCAGCUCCUUCUGCUGCUUUCUCUUCUUCUCCGGUAUGUCAUCUGCCAUUAUCUGAUCAGCCCAAGGGGCCCUACGACUGGCUGAGGAGCCUCUCAUCUCUGUCCAAUGUCUGGACUGUCCUAUGUCUGAGGACUAGAGGCCUUGGGACUGUCCAGACCAACCCUCCUGGCAACGUGUGGCCACCGUCUGCUAGGUGGAGGCAAGAAUAAAGCUUCUCUGAGCAGCUUCAAGGUCCUGGACUGCUUGAAGCAGGAGCCACAUCACCUAUCUUUGUCUCUGGCAUCCAGCCCAGAACCUGGCAACACCAGGCAUAAAUGAAGUUGUUCAAGGAACAUUCUCCAAGACAGGAUUCAUCUUUUCAAGCCUGGGAGGUUUGAGCAGGGAUGACCAUAGCAAAAAGUCAUCAAAUGAGCCCCUUUCUUCAUCAUGUGGAAUCCUCCUAUCAGUGCACUCCCAUGGUGGAGGUCUCUGGUAGGAAUAUUCUUGAGGACAAGGAGGGUCCACUCCCAAGGCCCAUGCCUGGGUGUCUCCCAGCCCAGCAUGAGGCCCCGGUUAAAACUCCAGGCUCCUCUGUUCAUCUGCAACCAGAGCUCAGCUUCCAUCACUCUCCUGAAUCAGCACUGGAAGGCCACGGGUCACAGGGUUUGCAGCCUCUGAGCAAACACAGCAAAGCACCCAACCCUCGGGUGACAUGUCACCAUCCAGCAGUCCUGGCUUAAAGAGAGUCCUUAUUUCUUCUUCUACCCUCGAUGAAUUCCUCUGGGAAACUUUUCCCUUCCUUUCUUCCAAGAGGAAGGAAGAAAGAGCAUUUUAAUUUCUAUACCUU
ensembl:lncRNA